rnacentral:rRNA from 1 species
CCUACGGGUGGCAGCAGUGGGGAAUAUUGCGCAAUGGGCGAAAGCCUGACGCAGCGACGCCGCGUGAGGGAUGAAGGUCUUCGGAUCGUAAAACUCUGUUAGCAGGGAAGAACGGUCACUGUGCUAAUCAGCAGUGAAUUGACGGUACCUGCAAAGGAAGCACCGGCUAACUCCGUGCCAGCAGCCGCGGUAAUACGGAGGGUGCGAGCGUUAAUCGGAAUUACUGGGCGUAAAGGGCUCGUAGGCGGUAUGUCAAGUCAAGGGUGAAAUCCCCGCGCUCAACGUGGGAACUGCCUUUGAAACUGGCAAGCUGGAGUGUGUGAGAGGAAAGUGGAAUGUCAGGUGUAGGGGUGAAAUCCGUAGAGAUCUGGAGGAACAUCAGUGGCGAAGGCGACUAACUGGCACAUAACUGACGCUGAGGAGCGAAAGCGUGGGUAGCAAACAGGAUUAGAUACCCCAGUAGUC